UCCCCUCCCAUCCCCACACCAUCCCCAUAUCCCCCUGUCCCCCCUGUCCCUGUCCCAGGCCGGGUGCCGGGCUGGGCACUGCAGGGCGCUCUGGGGAUAGGGGACUCUCUGCUCCGCUCCCCCCGGGGCUGUGGGGAGCAGUCCCUGAUGUCAAUGGCACCCACUGCUGCUGCUCUGCGCUUCCUGGAUGAGAGCGAAGGGUGGGGGCAGCUGCCCCCAGGGCACCGACAGCGCGGCCUCAGAACCCUGCAGCAGGGCUUCGAACGGGUGCAGAGCUUCCGCA
rnacentral:lncRNA from 1 species